CCGCACAGCGGUGAGCAUGUGGUUUAAUUCGAAGCAACGCGAAGAACCUUACCAGGUCUUGACAUCCCUGACAACCCGAGAGAUCGGGCGUUCCCCUUCGGGGGACAGGGUGACAGGUGGUGCAUGGUUGUCGUCAGCUCGUGUCGUGAGAUGUUGGGUUAAGUCCCGCAACGAGCGCAACCCUCGACCUUAGUUGCCAGCAUUCAGUUGGGCACUCUAAGGUGACUGCCGGCUAAAAGUCGGAGGAAGGUGGGGAUGACGUCAAAUCAUCAUGCCCCUUAUGACCUGGGCUACACACGUGCUACAAUGGGCGGUACAAAGGGUCGCGAACCCGCGAGGGGGAGCCAAUCCCAAAAAGCCGCUCUCAGUUCGGAUUGCAGGCUGCAACUCGCCUGCAUGAAGCCGGAAUCGCUAGUAAUCGCGGAUCAGCAUGCCGCGGUGAAUACGUUCCCGGGCCUU
rnacentral:rRNA from 1 species